rnacentral:rRNA from 1 species
CUGGCGGCGUGCCUAACACAUGCAAGUCGAGCGAGGAGAUUCCUUCGGGAUGAUCCUAGCGGCGGACGGGUGAGUAACACGUGGGCAACCUGCCUCAUAGAGAGGAAUAGCCUUCCGAAAGGGAGAUUAAUACCUCAUAACAUUGCAGUUUCGCAUGGAACAGCAAUUAAAGGAGUAAUCCGCUAUGAGAUGGGCCCGCGGCGCAUUAGCUAGUUGGUGAGGUAACGGCUCACCAAGGCGACGAUGCGUAGCCGACCUGAGAGGGUGAUCGGCCACAUUUGGGACUGAGACACGGCCCAGACUCCUACGGGAGGCAGCAGUGGGGAAUAUUGCACAAUGGGGGAAACCCUGAUGCAGCAACGCCGCGUGAGUGAUGACGGCCUUCGGGUUGUAAAGCUCUGUCUUCAGGGACGAUAAUGACGGUACCUGAGGAGGAAGCCACGGCUAACUACGUGCCAGCAGCUGC